rnacentral:rRNA from 1 species
GUCCACGCCGUAAACGAUGGGUGCUAGGUGUGGGGGGUGUCGACUCCCUCCGUGCCGCAGCUAACGCAUUAAGCACCCCGCCUGGGGGAGUACGGCCGCAAGGCUAAAACUCAAAGGAAUUGACGGGGGCCCGCACAAGCAGCGGAGCAUGUGGUUUAAUUCGACGCAACGCGAAGAACCUUACCUGGGCUUGACAUGCACGGGAAUGUCGUAGAAAUACGGCAGCCCUUCGGGGCUCGUGCACAGGUGGUGCAUGGCUGUCGU